rnacentral:SRP_RNA from 1 species
GCCCGGCGCCGUGGCGCCUGCCUUUAGUCCCAGCUACUCGGUAAGCUGAGGUAGGAGGAUCGCUUGAGCCCCAGAAUUCUGGGCUGCAGUUCACUAUGCUGAUCGUGAAUCCGCACUAAGUUAGGAAUCAAUAUGGUGACCUUCUGCGAGCGGGGGACCACCAGGUUGCCUAAGGGUGACCCAGCCCAGGUCGAAAACAGAGCAGGUCAAAACUCCCAUGUUGAUCAGCAGUGGGAUGGCACCUGUAAAAAGCCACGGCACUCCAGCCUCAGCAACAAAGCGAGAUGAGUCUCU